rnacentral:lncRNA from 1 species
UUUUAGUUUUUAAUCUUACAUACGGUAUUAUUGAAAAAGCAAUCUUAUUUAGGGAUUAAAAUGAAGUUUUCUAUAAAAACAAUGCUCGAUGUCUAAAGAAAGAUCAAUUUUAAAUAUAUUGAAUCUCUGUGGUACAUUGACUCACGCCAACAAAGAAAACGCAGCCAAACAUUGAGCUACACCAUUUGCCCUUGAGGGACAUACAGUUAUUUUCAUGAGCUCUCCUCAACAUAUAUUUCACAUCAUCUAUAGUCGAAAAUUAUCUUCUUCUGAUUGUGCAAUACCUACCAUUAUGAAUGAUUAUUCAUCACAAUGGCAUUCACAACGUCUUGAAAACUUUGAAAACAUUUUUUUUUUUGACAAAUGAUAGCGUUAAUAUGCUAAAUUAUUAGUUGUUAGACGGAAGGGGAUUAAACCCGCACUAGAAUGCAUAAUCACUCUAGUAAAAAAAACUGCUUGCGCGACAAAGCACACAUCCUUGCGCAUAGUCACGUUGUGCGAUGAAAUUUUAAACUUCGUCGCACAUGGUCAAAUAAAAAUUUGAGCCGGCGCCAAAAAUGGGAUGUGGGAAAUUUUAUUUUUUAAAAUUUUUUUAAGACUUUGCGCGAUCAAUAUUUCGUCCCACAAAGUGAUACAGUUAUUAAAACCAAAAUGACUCAUUCACAAUUUUCUCAAUGUCUUUCUCUAUUUCUUACCUCUCAUUUCUUUCCCUCUCCCCAAAUCCAACCCUCUCUCUCACACUCACUCCUCUCACUUAAUCUCUCUUCUCUCCCUCUCUCUCUCUUUUGUAUCUUUCACUCUCACUCACUAUCUCUUCUCUAUCUCUCACUCUCUCAUCUCUCUCUCACUAUCUCCUCUAACUCUCUCACUCACUCAUUUCUCUCAUUCUCACUCACUCUUAAUCUUGCCAAAAGGUAUGUUUGACAUACCCCGACCCGUAAUGUCCACUAGGACUCUGAAUCGAGCUGUGCUGGCUGACACUUGGAAGGUGACGAAGCCAUAAAGUAUGAUGAUGUGGAAAAAUGUGAAUAAAUUCAAACCUAAGAGUGCCUAAAAAAAGCCAGAGUGCACUAGUGAGCGGGAAUGAACCCAUUUCACACGUGACGUUAGAGCAUAAGUAAGUACAGUAGAGUGGAUUAAGAAUCAUACCCUCGAAAGAAAUCUCCAAUACCAAAACUUGCCACAAAUCCUCGUCGAUACGAAAGCUCUGCUACUAGACCUGAAAGGAUAAAAACUAGAGUGAGUGGCCAGAAAAUAAAGCUUUAAUAAAGACCUUCUAAACGAUAUAAUCCCUCACCGUAACACCUAUUUAGCUCCCAGAAAAUCAUACUACGGAUAAACAUGAAAUCAAGAAUAUACUAACAUUAAAUCCAGAAGUAUACCACACACAGCAUCUUAUUAGCAAUAUAAAUAAUCAAGUGCUUAAUAACCCAUACUAGCACGCCAGUCGGAGUAACCUAUGGUGACCUGUAUGACUACAACCAUAUCUCAUCAAUCAAUGCUAGCUCAUAAGUUGGAGCCACCUAUAGUGACAUGUACGACUUAUCCAUAUCUCAUCACAUAUGCUAACUCAUAAGUCGCAGUCACCUAUAAUGACUUGUACGACUUAUUUAUAUCUCAUUACAUAGGCUAGCUCAUAAGUCGGAGUCACCUCUUGUGACAUGUACGACUGAAUUUAUAGCUUAAUAAGUAUACCUGCACAUGAGUUGGAACCACCUAAAGUGGUUUGUACUACAGGAUUGUGUGUAAAUAAAUACGCUCAAGUGCUACAAUCACGUGAAGACUGUGCGAAUAAUCGCGGGUCACCUAUGAGUCGGAACCACCUAAAGUCGUAUGUACACCUACCUUGGAUCCAAGGUGAGCGUAAGGUGCGGGAGAUGAACAUCACGUGAAUGAUUGUGCCCUGGCCACGGGUGGGAGCACUAACACUGGGGUGCAAGUUUAUGAGCUCUCAAUGCAUCUCAAUAUAACAUGUACGACUCAUGGGCAAUCCAUAUGACAGUGUCGGAGUUGCCUAUCAUUGCAACAUGUACGACAAGGUCGGGGUUGCCUAAAACAUGCAUGUAGUCAUGCCAUAACUCCAUCAUUUCAACUAAUACCAUAAACUCACCUGAACUUACUUGGGUGUCCUGCGUUCACCUUUGCACUUCAAGCGUUCACAAUAAUUAUGUGCAGGUAAUAUACAUAUAGAUAAACCCUGAUGCAAUCUGAUACUCAAACAUGUUAUAGCAUUUUCAAUUGUAUACAUAAACAUAUAUAUAUAUAUAUAUAUACACACACACACACAAAAUAUGGCGUAAAAAAAAUGCAUAAGCUGUAACACCCUACUCCCGAACUAUUUAUUUUCGGGAAUAAUUAUCGGUGAUAAGCCCAACUAGACACUAGUUUAAUUAAUUAUUAUUACUUACGUUUCCUUACUUCAAAUUUUUUAUUCUUCACACAUUGAUUAGGUUAAAUCUCACAUUUUCCACCAAUGUCCCUCACAUUGCUCAAUUCCUUAAACAAGGCUAUUGUCUCAAUUAUUUAGUCUCAUUUAUUGUAUGGCUGCAUCUAAUGCCUUGUUAGACUGCCUACGUACCCUAAACAGGGAUCAAGCCAUUCGUAGUUCACAUUAGUACUUCAAAGCAUUCACAGUAAUUAUAUGCAAUAAUCAAUUUAUAACCGUUUAUGGAAUUAUCAAUCAUAUAUAUAUACGAUAGAAAGGAAAGGACCCACUCACCUAAGGUCUGCGCCAUGACUCCCUAACACAAAGAUUGAGACGUCACGAACCAUCGUCGCCUAGAACAAUUAUCAAAUCACAUCUCAGAGUUCUUACCGAUAGAAUACAUAAUUGACAUAAAACACAUCCCUACGUAAAUCAAUUCGGAAGAUCUGCAUCACGGAUUUCCGAUCCAUUGCUUCCAAAGAUCCACAUUAUACUUUUAGAACAACAUUCUAAAGUUUCAUUAUGAUCCAACGGUCGGAUCUUCGCCAAUUGCCAAAACCAAGUGGCGGUCAACAUUUUAUUUUAUGAACUUACAAAUCCAAUUCGGGAAGAUCCGUAUAUCGGAUUCCCAAUCCGUAAGUUCCUAUGGUCCUAAAAUAUUACAUACUAUAACAUACUAAAAGUUUGGUGACGAUCCAACGGUCGGAUCGUCGAUUCAUAUCUUUACCAAGUAACGUAUCCUAAUAAGUUUAUGUCCAAACGAUCAACCUACGAUAUACAAUUGCCAAAAAUGAACUCAAGAAAUCUAAUUUAGCCUAAGGAUAACAUCGACGGUCCCUUGGCCACGUGCCGCCGCGGGUGGCGGUCGGCCGCCCCGACUAGUCGGAAAAUCCAACUAUUUCAAAAAAUUACCAAAAUUUACAGAAAUGAAGAUCUCAUUGAGUGGAACAACUUUUAUACCUGUGACUAAGGCCAAUUAGGCCGUGAAGAGCUCCAAUUUCACUCAAAUCCACCGGAAACCCUAGAAUGGGUGUUAUUCGAUUCUCCUUUCUUAGCGUUCCAACGUCCCUACAACUAGUUGGGUCUUGUUCCUAGGUCCAAGGGGAGUUGAUUAAGGGUGGUAAUGGGUGGUGAAACUUGCCGGAAAGGAGGAAUCGUCGUCGAGCACCUCUGGUGCUUCGGUGAAGUUCCUCACGGGUUAGGACCUAAAAACCCUUAAAUAUAGAUGGAGAUGGUAGAGGGAAGGGUGUGGAAGAGGUUGCAGGUGAUGAAGGGGUGAAACCUGCUUGAAAAAUGGCGGAGGACUGCAGGAAAACCACCCCAGGUUGAAGCCAGGUUUUCUGCAUAUGUAUGGCUACGGGAAGGGGAAGGGAAGGCUGAGAGCUUCCCUCUCUCCUCUCUUAAUUGGUGGAAAGGUUAUUAUUAUUAUUUUUUUUCUCAUUUAAUUGGUCCCUAUUUUCUAUCCUUGAAGCUAAUUGGCUUCUUUCCCACAAGGUGGGAGUUCAAUAAUUUAGUAAUUUGAAAUGUAGGUAACCAAUUUCAAACGUCCGUAACUAUACCGUUAUAAUCCGGACUCGCAAACGGCUUUCGCCUAUGCGUUCGUACCAUUGAGUACUACGUAAAUACGCUAAAAGAUUAAGUCAUACGUUCUUCUAGACGAUGGUCAACAUAAAUCAAAAUCCUUGCCUCUAGACAUUUUUGUCAAUUCCCUUGACUAAAAAUAAAUAAAUAAACGAAAUUUUAGGGACGGGUUGUCACAAUUUUCUCCCCAAAUUUAAUGUUUUUUUUCUUCAUUAAUAUGUGUUUUUGGAGUUAAUUAAUUGGGUUUGGUGUGGGGUGGAGUUUGGGGUAUGCCAAGUUUAGGGGAGAUUAUGCCGAUUUUUUGGUAUUAUUUUAUGUUAUUUUUUUGGUUAUUUGACCAUGUUUGUUUUGUUUGUAGGGAAUCGUCAAGACUUUGACGGUGAAAAUUGAGGAUUAGGAUGCUAUCAGACCAUAUCCCCCGCCACUACCACCACAUUAGACUUGUAUCAGGAUUUUAUUAUUGUACUUUGUUAAUUUAUUUGUACAUUUUUAAUAUAAUAUAUAUUAUGGAUAAUUUGAUCUCUAUUUUAUAUGUAAUUUUAUUUUGAAUAUGUCAAUUUAAAUUAAAGUAAUUUUAAAAAAUAAAGAUACAAUUAAAUUAAAUUAAAAAGGUAAAAAUUCGAAAACUCUUGCGCUACCAAAUAUUUUGUCGUGCAAACAAUUACUAUAAUUAAAUUAAAAUAAGAAAAAUAAUAAAACAAAAAUAAAAUACCUUGCGCAACAAAAUAUUUCGUCUCGCAAAGAUUAAUAUCGUCGUGCAAAAUAUUAAAUUAAUUUAACUAAAUAAAAAAUAAAAAACUAAAAACUUUGCGUGACUAAUAUUUAUUUUUAUCGCGCAAACCCUAUCGUAACG